GUACUCCCAUCAGCAGCAUACAUACUAAAAUUGAAACCACUCAGAGAUCAGUGUGGGCCCUGUGCAAAGAUCACACAAAGAUUUGCUAAGUGUUCCAUAUUUUC